rnacentral:rRNA from 1 species
AACCGCGGUUAGACGAUUGCGCUCAAGUUGACAGACCACACGGCGUAAAGAGUGGUUAAGAAGCCCUCCCCAAGUAAAGUCGAAUGCCUUCAAGACUGUCAUACGUCCCCGAAAGUUAGAAGCCCACCUACGAAAGUGACUUUACCGCCCCCCCCCGACUCCACGAAAGCUGUGAAA